CCACAAAAAAAAAAAAAAAAAAAAAAAAAAAAAAAAAAAAAA
rnacentral:ribozyme from 1 species